rnacentral:rRNA from 1 species
UACGGGGGGGGCAAGCGUUGUUCGGAAUUACUGGGCGUAAAGGGCUCGUAGGCGGCCAACUAAGUCAGACGUGAAAUCCCUCGGCUUAACCGGGGAACUGCGUCUGAUACUGGUUGGCUUGAAUCCGGGAGAGGGAUGUGGAAUUCCAGGUGUAGCGGUGAAAUGCGUAGAUAUCGAGAGGAACACCGGUGGCGAAGGCGGGUCUCUGGGCCGAUACUGACGCUGAGGAGCGAAAGCGUGGGGAGCGAACAGG